rnacentral:tRNA from 1 species
UGGGGCUGUAGCUCAGCCGGAUAGAGCGACGGUUUCCUAAACCGUAGGUCGUGGGUUCGAGUCCCGCCAGCCCCGUCC